ensembl:snRNA U6 U6 spliceosomal RNA
AUGCUCGCUUUGGCAGCACAUAUGCUAAAAUUGGAACGAUACAGAGAAGAUUAGCAUGGCCCCUGUGCAAGGAUGACAUGCAAAUUCGUGGAGCAUUCCAUACUUUU